UCGGGAAUUUUGGGCAAUGGGCGCAAGCCUGAUCCAGCCAUUCCGCGUGCAGGAUGAAGGCCCUCGGGUUGUAAACUGCUUUUGUACGGAACGAAACGGUCCGAGCUAAUACCUCGGGCUAAUGACGGUACCGUAAGAAUAAGCACCGGCUAACUACGUGCCAGCAGCCGCGGUAAUACGUAGGGUGCAAGCGUUAAUCGGAAUUACUGGGCGUAAAGCGUGCGCAGGCGGUUAUGUAAGACAGGUGUGAAAUCCCCGGGCUUAACCUGGGAACUGCAUUUGUGACUGCAUAGCUAGAGUACGGUAGAGGGGGAUGGAAUUCCGCGUGUAGCAGUGAAAUGCGUAGAUAUGCGGAGGAACACCGAUGGCGAAGGCAAUCCCCUGGACCUGUACUGACGCUCAUGCACGAAAGCGUGGGGAGCAAACAGGAUUAGAUACCCACGUAGUCCCUGAGCGGGCUGGCAAGGCGCAU
rnacentral:rRNA from 1 species